rnacentral:rRNA from 1 species
GAUGAACGCUGGCGGCGUGCCUAAUACAUGCAAGUCGAGCGAACAGAUGAGGAGCUUGCUCCUCUGACGUUAGCGGCGGACGGGUGAGUAACACGUGGAUAACCUACCUAUAAGACUGGGAUAACUUCGGGAAACCGGAGCUAAUACCGGAUAAUAUAUUGAACCGCAUGGUUCAAUAGUGAAAGACGGUUUUGCUGUCACUUAUAGAUGGAUCCGCGCCGCAUUAGCUAGUUGGUAAGGUAACGGCUUACCAAGGCAACGAUGCGUAGCCGACCUGAGAGGGUGAUCGGCCACACUGGAACUGAGACACGGUCCAGGCUCCUACGGGAGGCAGCAGUAGGGAAUCUUCCGCAAUGGGCGAAAGCCUGACGGAGCAACGCCGCGUGAGUGAUGAAGGUCUUCGGAUCGUAAAACUCUGUUAUUAGGGAAGAACAAAUGUGUAAGUAACUAUGCACGUCUUGACGGUACCUAAUCAGAAGGCCACGGCUAACUACGUG